UACGUAGGAGGCGAGCGUUGUCCGGAAUUACUGGGCGUAAAGCGUGCGCAGGCGGUUUGUUAAGUCCGUUGUGAAAGCCCCGAGCUCAACUUGGGAAUUGCAGUGGAUACUGGCAGGCUGGAGUACGGUAGAGGAAGGUGGAAUUCCCGGUGUAGCAGUGAAAUGCGUAGAUAUCGGGAGGAACACCCGUGGCGAAGGCGGCUCUCUGGGACGGUACUGACGCUGAGACGCGAAAGCGUGGGGAGCGAACAGG
rnacentral:rRNA from 1 species